rnacentral:rRNA from 1 species
GGGGAAUAUUGCACAAUGGGCGCAAGCCUGAUGCAGCCAUGCCGCGUGUAUGAAGAAGGCCUUAGGGUUGUAAAGUACUUUCAGCGGGGAGGAAGGUGAUAAGGUUAAUACCCUUAUCAAUUGACGUUACCCGCAGAAGAAGCACCGGCUAACUCCGUGCCAGCAGCCGCGGUAAUACGGAGGGUGCAAGCGUUAAUCGGAAUUACUGGGCGUAAAGCGCACGCAGGCGGUCAAUUAAGUCAGAUGUGAAAGCCCCGAGCUUAACUUGGGAAUUGCAUCUGAAACUGGUUGGCUAGAGUCUUGUAGAGGGGGGUAGAAUUCCAUGUGUAGCGGUGAAAUGCGUAGAGAUGUGGAGGAAUACCGGUGGCGAAGGCGGCCCCCUGGACAAAGACUGACGCUCAGGUGCGAAAGCGUGGGGAGCAAAC